rnacentral:lncRNA from 10 species
CUGCCCUCGGGCCUGGCUCGCCCGCGGGCGGAUGGCUCCGGGUCUCUGCUGCUGAGGAUGUGGCUGCCGGGCGGAGGUCGUCCACUCCCCUGGGCCUUUCUCCGCGAGCCCUCCCACGCCGCCCGCUCCUCUCCCGGGGCGAAGGGCGGGGACGAGGCGCGCCGAAGCCCCGAGCUGAAGAGAAGGGUGGGGGCAUGAGGGCGCUGGAGUGAGGAACAGAUUGGAGCCUUCCCACUUCCUCUCCAAUCUCAGCCCCCGGGAGGAGGGGUGAGGCCCUCGAGGGGGCCCGGAGUUAAGGAGGAAUAGACCGUUUCUCUCUCUCCUGUCUCCCCCGCCUCUGCCCGUCUUCCCUCUAAGCCGGCCUCUAGGUGCAGAGGCUGACGUCCAGGAUGGGGACCGGGGAAGCCUCUGGAGGGUAUAUCCGGGAAGGCACCAAGGCUGAAGUGAGAGCGGUUCUGGGGAAGGCUUUAAAAAGCAGAUAUGGACCAGGGUAGAGUUCGUACGCUGUAGCUUUUCAAGAACACCGAUCUCAUUAAUUAAAGAACAGCAACUAUUUAAUUCCAGUUAUAAACUAUUGUUUUCCAGUUAGUCUGGGUAGGUGUGGCCGUUUGUAGAAUAGUUAGAUUACAUUAGUCUAUUGCGUUGGUACAGUUGUCUAUAGCUUGAGCAUAUAAAAACUCCUGAGCCCAGCAGAAAAGUUACUUUCCAAUACCAGUCUCCAUCCUCCGUGCUUUGGAAGUUGCAUCGUUUUCCGGUUUUUCGUACUCAAAGAACACUGUCAAUUAUGACAGCUCUGUGACCUCUGGUAAUGAAUUAGUGUAUUAGUCACUCCUGAAACGUUCCUUAAAGUGCUGGAACUUAACAGUAGCACAGCACAUCCAGUACACAGCUGUACCGUAUUUCCAUAUUUUUCAAAGCUGAAAAUCUUAAUUGGAUAUCUUGGAUCAUUAACUUAAAACCUCAGCGGAUUUUUCUUUCAAAGCAGACAUAACUGAGGAUGCUGACCAAUGAAUGCAAAUAAACUAUGCAAUAUUUUUUAAAAUAACAAAUGUAUGUUAGUUUUUUUUAAGCUGAGGUCAACUAUGUUUUGGGGGGUAUGUGCUUUUUUAAAUUAUUGUUUUAUUUCAAUCGAUUUUUGGGGGUAACAGGUGGCGUUUGGUUACAUGAAUAAGGUUUUUAGUGGUGAUUUCUGAGAUUUUGGUGCGUCCGAGCAAUGUACACUGUAUCCAAUGUGUAGUCUUUUGUCCCUCAUUAGCCUUCCCCUUACCCCUGAGCUCCCGAGUCCCCAAAGUCCAAUGUAUCAUUCUUAUUGAAGACAGCUAAAUUUUUAACUCUGAGACUCACUGGAGAGAAUGACUGGUUGUCUUUGGGUGUUACUGAAAAGCCAAAGGAUUAAGCAAUAGGGAUAAAGUAGAGGAGGAGAUAAUUGUUCUCGUAUGUCAUAUGAAAAUGCUAACCAUAGUUUGUAAGCUAACAGAAGAAGCCUGAGGAAGUUCCCGAAUUUAUGAUAUCCUCUUCCCUUUUUUCCAAAGAAAGAUGCAGUCUAGCACCUCAGUUAAGAAUAUGGACUCUAAAGUCAGACUGCCAGGCUUCAAAUUCCAGUUCUGCGACCUCAGCAAAGUUACUUAACCAAGCUCUCAGUGCCUUGUUUUCUUCAUCUGUAAAAUGAGGAUGACGUCACAGCAUUGUUGAGAGAAUUAAUACAGGCUCCAGACUUGUGAAUGGAGAAGUGUUGAGGUGACCCCAGCUCCAGCCACCAGCUGACGACAACCAUACCGGAGAUCCUGAGAGCUGCCUAGCUGACCCCAGGCACCCCCCAGACUUCAUGUAAGCUGUUUGAAGCCGAGGACUUUGUCUGUUUUGUUCACUCCCAAUAGAUUCAGCACUUAGAAGAAUGCCAGGCAGGCUUUCCCCACCAACCAAGAUGGAAUAACAGGGAAAAGACAUACCCUUCUAUCUUCAAUAAUUGGAAACCCAGACAAAGUUUAUGAAACGCUGGUUUUCAAGACAUAGGACAUCAGACAAUCAAGGACAGUAAACACUGAGAUGGGAAACAAACAAGCCAUGAAAACUUCAAAACUGCUUCACCACCUGGAGACCAAGCACCCUGCAUUAAAAGACAAGCCUUUGGAGUUUUUCUAAAGAAAAAACAUGAACACAGAGAACAGAAGUAAUUAUUGAAGGCCACUACUUCAUUAAGUGUGUCUGUACUGAGAGCAUCGUUCCUAGUGGCUAACCACGUUAUUAGGCUAAGAAGCCCUUUAGUAUUGGUGAAGAGUUGAUCCUGCCUGCUGCUAAGGACAUUUGUCAUGAACUUUUAGGAGAGGCUGCUGUUCAAAAGGUGGCACAUGUUCCUCUUUCAGCUAACACCAUAACUAGAAGAAUGGAUGAAAUAGCAGAGAAUAUUGAGGCACAAUUGUUAGAGAGGAUUAAUGAGUCACCGUGCUACACAAUCCACAAAAGGGUUUUGUCCCAGAAAUAGACUCAUACAUAUAUGAUCAGUGAUUUUCAACAGUGGUACAAAUGCAAGUCAGCGCAGAAAAAAUAAUCUCUUCAACAAAUGGUGCAGGAACAAUUGGAUAUCCAUAAAAUGAACUCGGAUCCACGCUUUGCACCAUAUGCAAAAAUUGACUCAAAAUAGGUAUAGGUCCUAGACCUAAAUGUAACAACCUGAAACUCUAAAAUUUCUCAGGAAAAAAAUGGGAUAAAAUCUUUGUGGUCUUGGAUUAGGCAAAGAUAUUUUCUUGUGUUUGUGGGUAAAGAAACCUUUAAUGAGGGUUCAAGGUGUAAGAGGAGGACCUUGUAGAGAGCCAGCGCUUAGCCCCAGCCUCCUCAUAUGCACAUGGCUCUGUAGAGGUUCUCCAGACAGUGCUGCUGCUGCUGUUUCGAGCCUUAUCUCCUCUGUGCUCCUC